rnacentral:rRNA from 1 species
GAGUUUGAUCGUGGCUCAGAGUGAACGCUGGCGGUAGGCCUAACACAUGCAAGUCGAACGGUAACAGGUCUUUCGGGAUGCUGACGAGUGGCGGACGGGUGAGGAAUACAUCGGAAUCUGCUCAGUCGCGGGGGAUAACGCAUGGAAACGUGCGCUAAUACCGCAUACGACCUUCGGGUGAAAGCAGGGGAAUCUCUCGGGAUCCUUGCGCGAUUGAAUGAGCCGAUGUCGGAUUAGCUAGUUGGUAGGGUAAAAGCCUACCAAGGCCACGAUCCGUAGCUGGUCUGAGAGGAUGAUCAGCCACACUGGGACUGAGACACGGCCCAGACUCCUGCGGGAGGCAGCAGUGGGGAAUAUUGGACAAUGGGGGCAACCCUGAUCCAGCCAUACCGCGUGGGUGAAGAAGGCCUUCUGGGUUGUAAAGCCCUUUUGUUGGGGAAGAAAAACAACGGGUUAAUACCCCGUUGGUAUGACGGUACCCAAAGAAUAAGCACCGGCUAACUUCGUGCCAGCAGCCGCGGUAAUACGAAGGGUGCAAGCGUUACUCGGAAUUACUGGGCGUAAAGGGUGCGUAGGUGGUUGCGCCAGUCUGUCGUGAAAGCCCUGGGCUUAACCUGGGAAUGGCGAUGGAAACUGUGCAACUAGAGUGUGACAGAGGGUGGUGGAAUUCCUGGUGUAGCAGUGAAAUGCGUAGAGAUCAGGAGGAACAUUCGUGGCGAAGGCGGCCACCUGGGUCAACACUGACACUGAGGCACGAAAGCGUGGGGAGCAAACAGGAUUAGAUACCCUGGUAGUCCACGCCCUAAACGAUGCGAACUGGAUGUUGGGUCCAACUUGGGAUUCAGUAUCGAAGCUAACGCGUUAAGUUCGCCGCCUGGGGAGUACGGU